AAACAGCCUCGACACAGCUGAAGGCGCAACAAAAUCGAACGAGACAGUUUAGGAUGUUAAAAACACCUGAAAACUUUUUUUUUCACUGCCCUUCAUACUACAGCUGUCAAAAAACCACAGCAACGUCGACACGCCUGGAAGCAUAGCUGUAUUUGUUUAAGACAACGGGUCAAUUAUGACUGAAGAAGAGGUCACCAAAUGAAGACCACAGCCAGGUGACGGGAUUCUGUGGUAAUCACAAACAGAUUUAAAAGUGCCUACUGUUGAAACACAUCUGAUCUCAUCUGAAAGCUGAUUCAAGCUACAGGUU